UGGGGUGUAGCCAAGAGGCCCAAGGCACCGGAUUUUGAUUCCGGCAUUCCCAGGUUCGAAUCCUGGCACCCCAGCCA
rnacentral:tRNA from 2 species